rnacentral:tRNA from 1 species
ACUCUUUUAGUUUAUUAGUAAAAUGUAACUUUGAAGAAGUUGAGAAUUUUUUUGAGUGUUGAAAAGUA